rnacentral:tRNA from 1 species
UAGGGGGUAGUAUAAUGGAAGUACGUGGGAUUUUGAGUCCUUCGUGCAGGUUCGAGUCCUGUCUUUCUA